rnacentral:rRNA from 1 species
CAACUUCUAACGGUGGAUCUCUUGGCUCGUGCAUCGAUGAAGAACGUAGCCAGUUGCGAUAAGUAGUGUGAAUUGCAGAAUUCAGUGAAUCAUCGAAUCUUUGAACGCAAAUUGCGCUCCCUGGAUAUCCAGGGAGCAUGCCUGUCUGAGUGUCGUG